AUACGGAGGGUGCAAGCGUUACUCGGAAUCACUGGGCGUAAAGCGCGCGCAGGCGGGUUGGCAAGUCAGAUGUGAAAUCCUACAGCUUAACUGUAGAACUGCAUUUGAAACUGCUAACCUAGAGUAUGGGAGGGGGAGAUGGAAUUAGUGGUGUAGGGGUAAAAUCCGUAGAUAUCACUAGGAAUACCGAAAGCGAAGGCGAUCUCCUGGAACAUAACUGACGCUAAGGCGUGAAAGCGUGGGGAGCAAACAGGAUUAGAUACCCCAGUAGUCC
rnacentral:rRNA from 1 species